AGCACGCGAGACACUUACAGGCCUUGAAUCCAAUGAACCUUUUAGAGAUAGCGGUGGCCUUCGGAACAUUGAGAAGGUGCUGAUGGUGUCGUCAGCUCGUGUCGUGAGAUGUUGGAUUAAGUCCCGUAACGAGCGCACGCCUUGUCCUUAGUUACCAGCACGUUAAGGUGGGCACUCUAAGGAGACUGCCGUGACAAACCGAGUAAGGUGCCAAUGACCUCAAGAAUCAUGGCCCUUACGGGCUGAGCUACACACGUGCUACAAUGGUCGGUACAGAGGGUUGCCAAGCCCCGAGUUGGAGCUAAUCCCAGAAAACCGAUCCUAGUCCGCAUCGCAGUCUCAACUCGACUGCGUGAAGUCGGAAUCGCUAGUAAUCGCGAAUCAGAAUGUCGCGGGGAAUACGUUCCCAGGCCUUGUACACACCGCCCGUCACACCAUGGGAGUGGUUUGCACAGGAAGUAGCUAGUCUAACCUUCGGGGGACGGUUACCACGGUGUGAUUCAUGACUAGCAUAAAGUCGUAACAAGGUAACCGUA
rnacentral:rRNA from 1 species